rnacentral:lncRNA from 1 species
CAUUUAUACAACACGAGAUUGAGAAGAAUUGUAAAUUAGCCGAAGUCAUACCUGACCCAACUGAAACAUGUGCAGUUCCGCCUCAGAAGAUAGUAAGGAAACAUCCUGCUGCAGGCUCAGAUCUGGGCCUGAAAGCUCAACCUCGACAGAGCAAAAGGAAACUUCGACGUACUGAACCGCCAGUAGAAACCUCCUCAAAUGUUCCGCCUCCUGCUUUUCACUCAGCGGCAAAUGUUAUCACCUGAGAGGAGACCUAUAUGCAGAAAAUGAUCAUGCAUUUUGUAUUCAAUUUGUAGAAUACACUAUAUGGCUGACUUGGUUUCUGUUUGUCUUGUAUAGUAUUUGUUUGGUGUCAAG